ensembl:lincRNA
UUUUAACAUUGAAGAGUUCAGAAAAGGGAGUUUUAUUGACAUUUUAAUAGUUUAAGUUGGUGUUGUAUAUUACAAAUACAUUGUAUAUUUUCUGCUAUUUAACACACUUAGUUCUCUAGUUAUUGUACAUUAUAUUAUUUCAAGCCACUAAAAUGUGAAUAAACCCCACUUUGUUUACCUGUAGAGUUGAUAUUUCAACAUCAAAAGUUGACAGGGCAGAGAUUAAAAAAUGUCUAAACACAAAAGUUUUAAUAACUCAUGUCUAAUAACUGAUUUCUUUUCUCUUUGUCAUGAUGACAGCACAUAAUAUUAGACUAGAUAUUCUUCAAGACACUAGUAUUCAGCUUGAAGUGACAUUUAAAGGCUUCACUAGGGUAAUUAGGGUAAAGUUAGGGUGAUUAGGCAGGUCAUUGUAUAACAGUGGUUUGUUCUGGAGACAAUCCAAAACAAAUAUUGCGAGGCUAAUAAUAUUGACCUUAAAAUGAGUUUAAAACAAUUAAAAACUGCUUUUAUUCUAGCCGAAAUAAAACAAAUAAGACUUUCUCCAGAAGAACAAAUAUUACAGGAAAUACUGUAAAACAAAAACCUGAAUCUGUUCAACGUCAUUUGGGAAAUAUUUAACGAACUCAAAUAUGUCAACUGUAUGUGUUGUGUUUCAGUCGGGCUCUCUGUUCCUCAUCGGUGUGCCCAGCAGCUAUUAUCUGUCCUCUCUGGAUCCGGGUCUCCCUCGUUUACCCUCAUAUGAAAGCGUACGCAAAAAAGACCGACAGCGGCAGAUCCACAUGAUGAUCGCCGACCGAUUCGGACUCAACGGGCCCGCUGUGACGGAGCCUCCUCCCACAUACGAGGAAAGCAUUCGUCAGUCGGUCCAAUCCAUUGACGUCCCGUUUGACAUCCUGUCCUCGGAGGAUCCACAGGCUACAGUUUCAGAGCCUGACACGGAUCUGCCUGCGUAUGAAGCUCUACCUCACAGCACAGACUCGCAACAGCCCAGCGACACUAGUAAUUAAUGCACACUCCAGCAUGCGUCUGAUCCUCAGCGGAAAUGAGCAGCUGUUGAGCUUUUCCCAGGCCUGACAGCUGAUCUACAAACAGACGAGUGCGUCAAUCUGCUGCCUUUGCAAAAAAACACCACCAAAAUGAGAUAUGACUUGACCUAUGCAAAUACUUGAGGAGGAGGAGGAGAACACUGCAACACUACUGGGAAACAAAGGGAAGAGAAUGUGCAGCGGUUGAAAUGAAUGUGAAACUGCUGCUGCGCUAACUUUGUGACUUUUCCAAGCCAGAGGUGUUAAAGUGCCCUCUUUAUGACUGUUUAAAGUAUGAUUUGAACUUUAUUUAGGUGAAGAGUUGUCUUUAAUUGCACGCUGCAGCGUCAGCUCUUCUUCCAUAGUGUCUGAAAUGUUUGGUACAAGGAUCCAGUCUCACUCAACUGGGCUUUUAGAGUCUACUCUGCCCUGAUUGGUCAGAUGGAGGCACUACUCUGCUCUGAUUGGUCAGAUGGCUCUUCUCUCUUCUCACUGGUCAGAUGGCCCUACUCUUGUUUGAUUGGUUAGAUGACACCUCUCAGCCCUGAUUUGUCAGAUGGAGGCAUUACUCUGCUCUGAUUUGACCGGGCAGAUGGAGGAAUAACUCUGCUCUGGUUGGCCAGAUUACCCUAAUCUGCUCUGAUUGGUCAUAUGAAGGCUCUCCUCUGCUCUGAUUGGUUAGAUUGAGGCAUUACUCUGCUCUGAUUUGUCAGCUGGAGGAAUAACUCUGCUCUGGUUGGCCAGAUUACCCUUAUCUGCUCUGAUUGGUCAUAUGAAGGCUCUCCUCUGCUCUGAUUGGACAGGUGAAGGCCCUACUCUGCUCUUACUGGACAGGUGGAGGCUCAACUCUGCUCUGAUUGUCUAGAUGAUCCUAAUCUGCUCUGAUUGGUCAUUAAAAGACUCUCCUCUGCUCUGAUUGGACAGGUGAAGGCCCUAUUCUGCUCUGAUUGGACAAAUAGAGGUCCUACUCUGCUUGGAUUGGCCAGGUUACCCUAUUCUGCUCUGAUUGGACAGGUGAAGGCCCUAGUCUGCUCUGAUAGGACAGAUCAAGGCCCUACUCUGCUCCGAUUGGCCAGAUGACCCUAUUCUGCUCGGAUUGGACAGAUAGAGGCCCUAAUCUGCUCUGAUUGGUCAUAUGAAAGCCCUCCUCUGCUCUGAUUGGACUGGUGAAGGCAAUUGUCUGCACUGAUUGGCCAGAUUACCCUAAUUUGCUCUAUUUGGUCAUAUGAAAACUGUCCACUGCUCUGAUUGGCCAGAGAACCCUAAUUUGCUCUGAUUGGUCAUAUGAAGCCUCUCCUCUGCUCUGAUUGGACAGGUGAAGGCCCUAGUCUUCUGUGAUUGAACAGAUAGAGGCCCUAAUCUGCUCUUAUUGGCCAGAUGGAGGCCCUACUCUGCUCUGAUUGGCCAGAUUACUCUAAUCUGUUCUAAUUAGUCAUACGAAGGCCCUACUCUGCUCUAAUUGGACAGGUGAUGGCCCUAGUCUGCUCUGAUUGAACAGAUUGAGGCCCUACUCUGCUCCGAUUGGUCAGAUGACACAAAUCUGCUGUGAUUAAACAUGUGUAGGACCUCCUCUGCUCUGAUUGGACAUUUACAGGCCCAACUCUGCUCUGAUUGGCCGGAUAACCCUAAUCUGUUCUAAUUGGUCAUAUAAAGGCCCUCCUUUGCUCUAAUUGGACAGGUGAUGGCCCUAGUCUGCUGUGAUUGGACAGAUUGAGGUCCUACUCUGCUUCGAUUGGCCAGAUGACCCAAAUCUGCUCUGAUUAGUCAUGCGUAGGACCUCCUCUGCUCUGAUUGGACAGAGGGACGCCCUACUCUGCUCUGAUUGGCCCGAUGAUCAAAAUCUGCUCUGAUUAGUCAUAUGAAGACCCUCCUCUGCUCUGAUUGGCCAUUUAAAGGCCCUACUCUGCUCUGAUUGGUCACAUGAAGGCUCUCAUCUGCUCUAAUUGGACAGGUGCAGGCACUAGUCUGCUCUGACAGGACAGAUGGAGGCUCAAACGCUGCUCUGAUUGGACAGAUUACCCUAAUCUGCUCUGAUUGAUCAUAGAAAGGCUCUCCUCUGCUCUGAUUGAACAGGUAAAGGCCCUAGUUUGCUCUGAUUGGACAGAUAGAGGCCUUAAUCUGCUCUGAUUGGCCAGAUUACCCCAAUCUACUCUUAUUGGUCAUAUGAAGGCCCUCCUUUGCUCUGAUUGAACAGGUAAAGGUGCUACUCUGCUUUGACUGGACAUAUGGAGGCUAAAGUCUGCUCUGAUUGGCCAGAUUACCCUAAUCUGCUCUGAUUGGUCAUAUCAGGGCCCUCCUCUGUUCUAAUUGAAUAGGCGAAGGCCCUAGUCUGCUCUGAUUGGUCAAAAUUGGGGCUAAAAUCAUGCAACUCGGCGUUACAUUCAGCAUUUUAGAUUCUGGGCCAGAUUCAGCUUGUUUUAAUUUCAUGUUUGGUUUUUCAGAGAGAUGGCGGGUUCAUCUCAUACCAAAGUGGCGUAUGAUGUACUGUACUGAACUAUAUGCACAAUAAUGGAUAUUUGAAGCCAUGUUUUGGACAUUACAGGGAAUAUUUCGUUUAUUUGCAGUACUGUUUUGUUGGAUGUAAUCAUGAUGUGCGCUUGUAUGAACGUGAUGUUCUUUCUUUCGGCAGAACAAAUGUUACUGUCUCUUUAGCUAGAGAUCAUAGAAAUUAAUUUUAGCAAAGCCGCUGUCAUAUCUGUCUGUGUAAAUAUGUUCUCUGUCAAAAUGAUGUCUGUUCAAUCCCUAUUUUUUAUAUUUCCGUUUAUCAAAAUGCAUAUUUUUAAAUUUUUCACUGUGAAUAAAGAUGUUUAAACAAACGUUUGGGUCUUGUUAUGUGUGAUACUCCGAUUUCCCCCACAGUCCAAAGACAUGCGGUACAGGUGAAUUGGGUAGGGCAUCCACUACGUAAAACAUAUGCUGGAUAAGUUGGCGGUUCAUUCCUCUGUG